AGCUUUGCACAGUGGCAGUAUCAUAGCCAAUGAGGUUUAUCUGAGGCGCGAUUAUUGCUAAUUGAAAACUUUUCUCAAAUUAGCUCCUCUUGGCUUUUGACAGAAUCGCACUCCUUGGAAAGACUGCCCCUGAACUGUUCUAAAUC